CGCCCGUCGCUCCUACUGAUUGAAUGCUCCGGUGAGACGUCGAGAGAGUGCUCCUGCGAUCAGCAAUGGUCCAGGCGUGUUCGAACUUCCUCAAAUUGUAGCAUUUAGAAGAAGGAGAAGUCGUAACAAGGUUUCC
rnacentral:rRNA from 1 species